CCUACGGGAGGCAGCAGUAGGGAAUUUUCGUCAAUAGGCGCAAGCCUGAACGAGCGAUGCCGUGUGAGUGAAGAAGGCCUUCGGGUCGUAAAGCUCUGUUGCGGGGGAAAAAAGGCAGCAUCAGGAAAUGGGUGCUGACUGAUGGUGCCCCGCCAGAAAGUCACGGCUAACUACGUGCCAGCAGCCGCGGUAAUACGUAGGUGGCGAGCGUUAUCCGGAAUGGUUGGGCGUAAAGGGUGCGCAGGCGGGCCUGCAAGUCUGGAGUGAAACGCAUGAGCUCAACUCAUGCAUGGCUUUGGAAACUGGAGGACUGGAGAGCAGGAGAGGGCGGUGGAACUCCAUGUGUAGCGGUAAAAUGCGUAGAUAUAUGGAAGAACACCAGUGGCGAAGGCGGCCGCCUGGCCUGUUGCUGACGCUGAGGCACGAAAGCGUGGGGAGCAAAUAGGAUUAGAUACCCUUGUAGUC
rnacentral:rRNA from 1 species